rnacentral:snRNA from 1 species
AUCGCUUCUCGGCCUUUUGGCUAAGAUCAAAGUGUAGUAUUGAUUAAAAUAGAUGUAAAUUUGAAUUCUGUUUCUAUUCGUAACUGAUUCUCAUUUGCAUGAAUGAUAAUGUUCUGAAUAGUUUUAUUGUUUUGUUCAGCACAU